GUUAGGAAUAUUGGACAAUGGGCGCAAGCCUGAUCCAGCCAUGCCGCGUGAGUGAUGAAGGCCUUCGGGUUGUAAAGCUCUUUAGCCGAUGAUUAUAAUGACUGUAGUCGGAAAAUAAGCCCCGGCUAACUUCGUGCCAGCAGCCGCGGUAAUACGAAGGGGGCGAGCGUUAUUCGGAAUCACUGGGCGUAAAGCGUGCGUAGGCGGCUUUGCAAGUUGGGAGUGAAAGCCAAGGGCUCAACCCUGGAAUUGCUCUCAAAACUGCAAGGCUCGAAUUCGGGAGAGGAUAGCGGAAUUGUCAGUGUAGCAGUGAAAUGCGUAGAUAUUGACAGGAACACCAGUGGCGUAAGCGGCUAUCUGGACCGAUAUUGACGCUGAGGCACGAAAGCGUGGGGAUCAAACAGGAUUAGAAACCCCGGUAGUCC
rnacentral:rRNA from 1 species